CCUACGGGAGGCUGCAGUGAGGAAUAUUGGUCAAUGGCCGGAAGGCUGAACCAGCCAAGCCGCGUGAGGGAGGAAGGCGCAGAGCGUCGCAGACCUCUUUUGCCGGGGGACAAAAGGCCGGACUCGUCCGGUCCUGAGGGUACCCGGAGAAAAAGCAUCGGCUAACUCCGUGCCAGCAGCCGCGGGAAUACGGAGGAGGGGAGCGUUAUCCGGAUUCAUGGGGUUAAAAGGGUGCGCAGGGGGGCCUUUAAGCCGGUGGUGAAAUCGCGGGGCUCAACCCCGCCGAGCCGUCGGAACUGGGGGCCUUGAGUGCGGCGGGGGGAUGCGGAAUGCGCGGUGUAGCGGUGAAAUGCAUAGAUAUCGCGCGGAACCCUGAUGGCGAAGGCAGCGUGCCGUGCCGCCACUGACGCUGAGGCACGAAAGCGCGGGGAUCGAACAGGAUUAGAUACCCUAGUAGUC
rnacentral:rRNA from 1 species